rnacentral:rRNA from 1 species
CACGUAGGGGACGAGCGUUGUCCGGAUUCAUUGGGCGUAAAGCGCGCGUAGGCGGCCCAGAAAGUCGGAUGUGAAAACCUGGGGCUCAACCCCAGGCGUGCACCCGAUACUCCCGGGCUGGAGGCAGGUAGGGGAGAUCGGAAUUCCUGGUGUAGCGGUGAAAUGCGCAGAUAUCGGGAGGAACACCAGUGGCGAAGGCGACUUCCUGGCCUGUUCUUGACGCUGAGGCGCGAAAGCUAGGGGAGCAAACGGG